rnacentral:tRNA from 1 species
GCACGGGUGGCUCAGUCAGUUGAGCAUCUGACUUUGGUUCAGGUCAUGAUCUUGCAGCUCGUGAGUUCAAGCCCCGCAUCGGGCU